rnacentral:piRNA from 1 species
UCUGUAAUUGUAUAAUCCUGAGGGCUAGC